rnacentral:rRNA from 1 species
UACGUAGGGUGCAAGCGUUGUCCGGAAUUAUUGGGCGUAAAGAGCUCGUAGGCGGUUUGUCGCGUCUGCUGUGAAAUCCCGAGGCUCAACCUCGGGCCUGCAGUGGGUACGGGCAAACUAGAGUGCGGUAGGGGAGACUGGAAUUCCUGGUGUAGCGGUGAAAUGCGCAGAUAUCAGGAGGAACACCGGUGGCGAAGGCGGGUCUCGUGGGCCGAUGACUGACGCUGAGGAGCGAAAGCGUGGGGAGCGAACAGG